AUCUAAGUAAUUAAAAUGUAUAAUUUAAUAUUGAAGCUAUUAGUUUGAGAUAUUGUAUCUCCUUAGAUA
rnacentral:tRNA from 1 species